CUUCUCCUCAUUUGCCUGGCUUCAGCAUGUCUGGAGGAACAGUGUGUGGAGCUUUUACCUUUCUCUGAGGCCUCGUGCGUGGGCCACGGCCAAGGGCAGAUUUCCGGACCUAUCAGACCAAUUAUUUCACAGGACAUAGCUUCCAAGCAGGAAAUUGACACCGGAAACAAGGACAAUGGAGGAAAGGAAGGAGACUAAUGAAGUAGGGGGCAAGAGCUAACCAUGCUUACACCAGGAUCAAGAGCGUGCAAAAUGGGAGGAAUAAGCAGUGGGUAGGAGGGCACUUUGAAGAGAACCUGCAGAACUGCUGGUGGCUUUGCUGUGCAGGGAAUAAAGAUGCUGUUCCACACAUGUCCUCCGAAGAAGGUACCGUUUGGGAAGGGCACAGGCAUGCGCCAUUGAGCUCCACAGCUGGAGGCACUGAUUGCACGAAAAGCACCUGGGCACGUCACCAAGCCACAGAUGGUGACUACGCGCGACCCCAGUUGAUGAGAGCUGGACAGUGGUGUUUAGUGGAAACGGCUUUGGAACUCUAAGGAAGCAUUUGGAUCUCUAAGGAUCCAGUGAAUGGAUACAACGGAUUCUUGACUUCCGUGUAUUAAUUGUUCCUCAUCACAUUCAAUAUGUAGGUACACCUUAUAGGUUUUGCCUCCAAAACUUAUCUCAUGUGCAUUUACUUCCCUCCGCUGCCAGUGCCUGGACCUAAGUCCAGGUAGCACCUCCACUAGAAUCCUCCACUAGCCUUUGGAAUGCACCCCAUCCAGUUUACAUGCUUGCCCUCGUCCCCAUUUCUCUUCUUUGAGUAUAGACAGAGCCCAGGGACAAACCGGAUUUAAAACACCAGAUUUUGGCAAGUUAAUUUUAAAGAUACUUCUCUGGGAAAGGGCAGUUGACUAUAUCCUCCUCAAGUUUAGCACGCUCCCUUAAGUGAAGCACCUUCAACCCUGCUUUGCCUGCAGAGAGUUCUUUAAGGAUGCUCAACUGAAGCGCCCGCUUUUCCUUCUUCCUAUUAAAAAUGGUUCUCGGAUGCUUUUAUUCUUAGAGAUGCAUUCUAUUGUAGCACCAAUAUAGUUACAUAAGCGCAUCGUUUCAUGCUCUAUUCACCUUCUGGAUCUUUUAACCCGACCCCUCUCAGCUGAGAAAAGAAAUACUAUGGGUUUAAAUCUAUCUGCUAUCAGCUGCAGUAGGGCAAUUCUUACCCUAGGGCCCCAAACCCUCAUUUCAGAUGGACUA